rnacentral:rRNA from 1 species
CCCUUAGAUGUUCUGGGCCGCACGCGCGCUACACUGACGAAUGCAACGAGCUUAUAACCUUGGCCGAAAGGUCUGGGUAAUCUCCAAAUUUCGUCGUGAUGGGGAUAGAUUAUUGCAAUUAUUAAUCUUCAACGAGGAAUGCCUAGUAAGCGCAACUCAUCAGCUUGCGUUGAUUACGUCCCUGCCCUUUGUACACACCGCCCGUCGCUCCUACCGAUUGAAUGGUCCGGUGAAGCGUUCGGACCGUGGCCUUUGGACGGUUCGCCGUCUGUUGGCUGCGGGAAGUUCGUUAAACCUUAUCAUUUAGAGGAAGGAGAAGUCGUAACA